GACCAAUGAUGAAAACAGCCAGAUCUGAGCAUCCUAAAACCUUCUAGUCUACCUAUGCAUGAUCUCCAUAGUUCUGAGA